UUCACAGCACAAAGACGGAAGAGAAUAUGCUUCUCUCUUUCAGUACAGUGUUGCUGUGAUAGAUGGCUAUUAAGAAGCUCCUGGGUUUCAUGCAUCCAGUCUGCUUGUUCCAGUCUGGCACUCUUUCUGAAGUGUCUUUCUGCUACAUUGUGCCAGUCAGAAGUGGUCAUUGUGAUGCUCUAUUUUAACUUCUGUAACAAAACAAUCCUCAAGUUUCUUCAGAUGGUUCCCCGAGGCUCUCUGUAUUACUCUGAAACUUACUGUCUUGGCAGAUAUCAAUACUGAUUGUGAAGAGUUAAGUGAAAUAACCAGGAUCCCUUCAGCACAUUGUUCAUAACCUCACCUGACUAAACAUGAAACGAGAAUAAAAUGGCACAAUGACAAUAAAGAGAGAGGAAAAAACUCUUGUAUUUCACUGAUGCCACCAGUGUUCUCAGAGAACCUCACGAAGCUGAGUGAAAGAAAACUCAUCAGAUCUAUGUGCUGGGCUUAUAAUAUUAUCCCCCCCAUAUUACUCCACAGGAGCAAUAGAACAGAGCUACCAAGUAGAACAGCCCUCUCUCCCUUCAGAAAGUGAAGAAACAACUUACUGUUCCAUCAAGAUUGUUUGCUCUUCUACUAAACUUGGAAGGAAUCAACCUGAUAGUCAUAUAAAAAGAAAAUGGCAAUCUACAGUAAUGUUCAAACUAUACACAACUUUUCCAUUAUAGAACUGGAAAAUAUAGACAGAGCCACUGGAAGAUGCUUUCCUAAGCUGUAUUGUUCCUCAUAAACCUGUAAGCUUUCUUUCGUCAAACAUCUUGACAUGCAUUACUCAGCCACACAGGGUACACUUUGACAACUCUGUAAGCAAGCACAAGACAAGAGGGUAUAGUUUAGACAAUGACAUGAAACUAACUGGAAAGUCAUAUGGAGAUUUAUUGACUGAAGGAAAUAAAGACAAAAAUUACUUGCAUAAAACUUUUUCUCAACUAUAUAUGUAUUUGCACUAUUUUAUGUAUCACAUAAAUACUUACAACUCAAAUUAGAUUGACUCUAAGUUCUGCAUGACCCCCUCUCUCUAAAGGAGAAAAUAAACAAAAUAACAAGAGAUACAGACAUUGUCUGCGAGUGUCUGCAGCUCCCCAGGGAAUCUGUGGAUUACUUCUAAGAGGUCUGCUAGACAUAAUUUUAAAAUGCAAUUAUACAAUGAGUAACCCAAAAUUUAGCAUGCAAAUGUGGCCAGUAAAUGUCAUUUAAAUGUCUGAAAUUUAAAAGUACUUAAGUAUGUCACGGAGGACAAAAACAUCAAGUGGAUACAGGAAGUGAAAAAAAAGAACUUUUUCUCCAGUAAGUGGUUUAUGUAGACCAUAAGCACACCUACAUUUCAAGGCUGACAUUUCAGUGCCCUUAAAGGGAGGUGUAAUUGCUGAGCUGCAGCAGACACCGAUCUCUUCCUGCUUGGAAGGACUACCUAGAACUCGUAGGGAUGGUCCCUUUGCAUGUAGCAACGUGAUAACGCCUUUCCCUGCUCACUCCAAAACAUGUCACUACUCUUUCCUGUAUCAAGAAAAGACCUUUUUGAAAGAUAGGAGGUGAGUGGGGGGCUUAGAGAAGAAGCAGCAGUAUCUGACACCUCCCACCUGUGUCCAGGUGCACUGUUCAGUUCCUGAACGUAACAUGUUGUCUAGGUUUGCUGUUUUCAGAAAAACAUUGACAGAAAGGAUCUUCCCUUCCUUCCUAUUUCACCACUUCAGGGCUGAUUAACAGUGCCUGUACUUUCACUGCUGCACCUGCAGACAGUGAAGAGAUGUAUUCACAACAGCAAGCAAUUUCACAGCGUGAGCACUCAGAAGCAUUAUUUAUUACUAACAUUCUAGCUAAAAAGUCUGAGGCUGCAAAACAGUAACACAUUCAAGAUCUCAUCAUUCAUCUGUAAUUUGCAUUUUUCAUGAAUACAAACCUGGCUGACUAAUUGGGAAGUCGCUUGACUUGAGACUUAAUAUACUUUUACCCUUUGAUGGAUUCAGCAUGAAUAGAAUCUUGUGUGUUUUCAUUACUUGGAGCCAGGAGCAAUUUUCGACUUUGUAGUUUCUAGUUUCAAACAAGAGAAUAGAUUUAUCUGCUGGAGUAAUGAUCUGGUCCAUCAGAUUCAGCCUACACUUUCCAGAGGUAACCACCCACCCUGCAGACAUUGCUGAAGGCCUUCCCUUUCCUGAUAAUUUAGUUAUUAAAGAAUACAAAAUCAUACAAAAGCAAGAAGUGGUAAUAGCUCAGGGGAAAUUCCUCCCUGGCCAGUGCAGGUGAUGAGCUUUGCAGUGAAGCAAAUCAAGCCUCCAGUUGUAUGUUCUAUGAGCAAGGUGUAGGAAAAGGCACUCAGGCUUGAGUGCGACCCUUCAACAGAUCAGAUCAUACCCUAUUCCCUCUGCAAACACUGGUUGCCUUUAGUUCCAUAGCUGUUCUGAUUUAAUUACACAUAUGCAGGAUACUUGCUCUAUUUUAUCUAUAAUUCAGAGAAAGGUCACUUUUAAAAUGGGAGGAACACAGAUACAGGGCUAGGACAGCAGCUGUCUGACAAAGCAUUGCCAACAUGCAACGAGGUCCAGCACACAGCUGUUGACUCUCACGGCGGGUGGAGAAGCCUUCAUCUCCACAGCUACUGCCAGUGGAAGUGCUGGGCUCACAUCACCUCCUGCUAUAGCUGACUUGCUGGGUAGUUGAGUGACCACAUGUAAUUACAGAGGGAUGGAGAGGAACAUUUAGAUGAGUCUAACUUCACCCAGCAACCACUGACAUGUUUUGACUUUCUAACUGCUUUGAUGCUAAAACUGUAUUUCAUCCUCUAAAUCUGCCCCAAACCAAAUAAAAACCAUAAUCUAUCUUCUCCUCCUUCAGAGGGAAAAUGUCAUGCUUUAUUUUACCAAUUAUGUGAAAUGCUUUACAAAAAUAGUAGCCUGAUGCACAUCGGCAAGUACUGCGGUAGAGUCGGGGGAUGGACGCCUCUUUGCAUUCCAGUUUGAGUGACUGUGCUUUUAAUCCUUUAUCUUACAAUUGGGUUGAUCACAGGUAUAAAACUAAGAUUACUAUGAAAAUCCCAACUGCUUAGUACCUUUUUCUCCUUCCAUUCAAUAAACAGGAUGGUACAACCAUCAUGGGAGCUACGUGAAGGCAUCAUAGUUUUGUUUCAGUAGUCCGUGAACACUUGAGGUCUCAAAUAACAUUCUCAAAUAACAAUCUAACAGUUUAUGCCAGAAAUUCUUCCAUGCAGAAUCUAGUCUGCCUAGUUCAGGAAUGUAACCCAAGACUGAACUUUAAGCAAUUUAAGGUUAAAAAAGCAGGACCACUAGCACCAGAGCCUCUGUUGGUGUGGAAAGGAUCUUGGAAGGUCUCCAGAGGGACUGACUCCGUGGGGAAAACCUACUCUCUGUCUUGAAUAUUCAAACUGAAGUUUGGUGGAAAGGUAGUAAACAUCUAUAAACGCCACAGAUAAACGGCAAACACAGAGUGAAUGUUAUCCAACUUCAUUUUGUACACCAUAUACCAGGACUCAGUAUGGGGCAGAGCUUGCUUGUAGUUUUUUAACAAUAAAGUGUGGACAAAGGCUGUCCAGAUGGAGACUGGCUAGCAAAAAAAAUAAAGGUUGGAGACUUGGAAAACACCAGCAUCCUUUCCCUCUCUGUGGUGUGGCUCCCAGGGAAAAGCAUUUCAUGCUUCAGAAAAGGAGUAAUGCUUACCUGUGCAUGGGCACAAAAAGGUGUGCCUCUUGCAUUUCCUCAACAGCUUUUUUUUCCUGGAAAUUUUACUUGGAAAUCUAGGUUGAUUAGUCUUAUGUAGUCUAAAGAUAUGCAUAGUCUAGAAUACUGGAAAAAAAGCAGCCUUCUGUGUCUAGCUUGGAGAUAUACCUAUUAACUUUUGUUAAUGUUCCUUACAUAUUAUGUACAGAAGAAAACAUAUAUUAAAAAUGUGUCAUGUUUGGUUAGAUAUAUAUCAUAUUUGAAAUGAUUAACAGAAGAGAUGCAAAACUGCAGAUGUUUUAGGGAGUACAAAGAGUGUGACCUAUACAGAAUCUAGCUGUUUUCUGUAUAACACUUUGUAGUCACAGUGUAGCUGAGAGCAAAAAUGAUAUUUUUUUUGGAGGUAUGAUUACACCAUCUUCCUUUGGUGUAGUCUCCAUUCUCAGAUACUGCAGAAGGCAAUAUAAGUAAUUUAAGUAAUACAUGUAAUAUAAUACAGUAAUAUUCCAUUCCAGCGAGGGUCAGAAGAGUGAAUCUUUCUUCUGUUUAAUGUUGACCCAGAGUUCAAUCUCUCCCUAAAAAAAAAAAAAAAAAAUCUUCUCAGUUGUCUUUUUAGAUGUAUCAUAGGCACUCAGCACAAGAAAAUAUGUUUGUGAUUGUGGCAGUAGGGCAAUGGCAAUAGAGAUACAUUGACUGAGAGAGUAAAGUUGUGAAAGAAUAGCCACAAAUUAAGGAUUUUGGUUCUGUAAUUUCAUCAUUUCAUUAUAAUAAGUGAUUAAAACUAUUUUCUUUUCUUGGAAAUGGGAAAAUAUUUAAAUACUACUUGUAACAGGGCACAGCUAUAAACUGUAGGUAAGCGUUGCACCAAGUUACAAAAGCAGAGUGCCCUCUCGUGGCUGCUGGGAAGGACAGAAAACACAAGAAUAACAGAUUCCGUGUUGUCAUGGGAAUAUUCUGCAAUUAGAAUCUUCUGUCUUGAAAGUGAUUUCUACGCAUUAAUUCCAUUAUUUUUGAGGGAAAUUUUAAAAAUUAUUUCAGUAAGCCGAUGGAAACUUAUUUACACAUACAC